rnacentral:rRNA from 1 species
UAGGGAAUCUUCGGCAAUGGGGGCAACCCUGACCGAGCAACGCCGCGUGAGUGAAGAAGGUUUUCGGAUCGUAAAGCUCUGUUGUAAGUCAAGAACGAGUGUGAGAGUGGAAAGUUCACACUGUGACGGUAGCUUACCAGAAAGGGACGGCUAACUACGUGCCAGCAGCCGCGGUAAUACGUAGGUCCCGAGCGUUGUCCGGAUUUAUUGGGCGUAAAGCGAGCGCAGGCGGUUUGAUAAGUCUGAAGUUAAAGGCUGUGGCUCAACCAUAGUUCGCUUUGGAAACUGUCAAACUUGAGUGCAGAAGGGGAGAGUGGAAUUCCAUGUGUAGCGGUGAAAUGCGUAGAUAUAUGGAGGAACACCGGUGGCGAAAGCGGCUCUCUGGUCUGUAACUGACGCUGAGGCUCGAAAGCGUGGGGAGCGAACAGGAUUAGAUACCCUGGUAGUCCACGCCGUAAACGAUGAGUGCUAGGUGUUGGAUCCUUUCCGGGAUUCAGUGNCGCAGCUAACGCAUUAAGCACUCCGCCUGGGGAGUACNACCGCAAGGUUG